GGGCUCUAGCCUCAGGAUGGGAGUUAAUGUCAUGGCUGUUUAGAAGAAACAGCUUCUGGUGAGAAAGAUGUCUGAUGUUUUUUCUCCCAUUCCCCACCACCAUUUUCAGUUGCAUUUACAACAAAGCUUCAGGCUACGUAGCCCCAAAAUGGGAUCACACCAUGAAAUGAAGUGAGAAGGGGUGUGAUGGACUUGAUCGAUCAAAUUAAGGCAGCCACGGAAGCUACUUCUACCUGUCUGUCUCUGCUCUGGACAUGGAUGCCCAAAAGCACCUGUUGGACUUGUGUUGACCUCCUAGACAUUUUCUGAUUUCACCUCUCACCUCCAUAUGCAGAAAACUCAGGUCUUUUGUGCCUCUGCAGAGGAAUACAGUUAUCAGUUUGUCUUGAAAACCGACAGACCAAAAGAAGGAAGAUUUUAAAUCACCACUAGUCUCAAAAGUCUUCAUCUGGACCAGAACCAGCUCUAAAGUCUGAAAUCCCAUCUGUGAAUCACCUGAGUCAGACAUGGGCGCCUUCUGAUUGUCCUGGUGAAGACUGGUGACCUACAGAAAAGCAAACCAACCUGGAAAGUCACACACGGAAUUACACAACCCAGCAAGUGCAUUCCUCUCCUGGAAAAGUCAAGCGUUCCAUUUUUCUUUUAAAAUACUGGAAAGAAUGUGCUCAGUGAUUACACAGAAGCUGGGACAAAGCAUUUUCAUCUGUAUGAAAGCCAGCCAGAUGGUCCUAAGCCAGUUCUCCACUUCAACUCUAGGAAGAGCUUAACAUGACUCAGCUUUUUGUUUCUAGAACUUCAAACAGUCUUCCUACAGUAUGUUUACAUGACAGGGAUUGACAAAUUAAUUGUAUUCCAAUGAAAAGUG